rnacentral:rRNA from 1 species
UACAGAGGUCUCAACCGUUGUUCGGAUUCAUUGGGCGUAAAGGGUGCGUAGGCGGUCGCGCAAGUCGGAUGUGAAAUCUCGGGGCUCAACCCCGAAACUGCAUUCGAUACUGCGUGGCUAGAGUGCUGGAGGGGAGACUGGAAUUUACGGUGUAGCGGUGAAAUGCGUAGAGAUCGGGAGGAAUACCGGUGGCGAAGGCGGAUCUCUGGACAGCUCCUGACGCUGAGGCGCGAAGGCUAGGGGAGCAAACGGG